GUAUUGCUCGGUGGUGACCGCAAACCGGGCAAGGAGGAUUUGGGUAAUAAAGGGAUAGUCUCUGAUCUGCUCUUCUGGUACAGCCUGGUAAAUAUCCGCUACCUUCCCCACUAGUUUGCAGGCCAGGAUGGUGACCCAGCCACUGGGGUCCACGUCUUGGAGUAGGCACUGGCGCUCAAAGUCUUGUAAAAAGUCAUCAAUGCCUUCUUCUGCUUCCUUGAAGUCUUUGUAUGGUAGCUUGUGGGCCAGGGUGGAUGUGCUUCCCGGCGCCCUCUGCUUCCUUCAUCUGGG